rnacentral:rRNA from 1 species
UACGUAGGGGGCAAGCGUUGUCCGGAUUUAUUGGGCGUAAAGAGCGUGUAGGCGGUUUGGUAGGUCCGCUGUGAAAACUCGAGGCUCAACCUCGGGCCUGCAGUCGAUACGGGCAGACUAGAGUUCGGUAGGGGAGACUGGAAUUCCUGGUGUAGCGGUGAAAUGCGCAGAUAUCAGGAGGAACACCGGUGGCGAAGGCGGGUCUCUGGGCCGAAACUGACGCUGAGGAGCGAAAGCGUGGGGAGCGAACAGG